rnacentral:rRNA from 1 species
UACGGAAGGCAGCAGUGGGGAAUAUUGCACAAUGGGCGCAAGCCUGAUGCAGCCAUGCCGCGUGUAUGAAGAAGGCCUUCGGGUUGUAAAGUACUUUCAGUCGUGAGGAAGGUGUUAAGGUUAAUAACCUUAGCAAUUGACGUUAGCGACAGAAGAAGCACCGGCUAACUCCGUGCCAGCAGCCGCGGUAAUACGGAGGGUGCGAGCGUUAAUCGGAAUUACUGGGCGUAAAAGGGCACGCAGGCGGUUAAUUAAGUUGGAUGUGAAAUCCCCGGGCUUAACCUGGGAAUGGCAUUCAAGACUGGUUAGCUAGAGUCUUGUAGAGGGGGUAGAAUUCCAUGUGUAGCGGUGAAAUGCGUAGAGAUGUGGAGGAAUACCGGGUGGCGAAAGGCGGCCCCCUGGGACGAAACGAACUGACGGCUCAUGUGCGAAA